UGGGGAAUAUUGCACAAUGGGGGAAACCCUGAUGCAGCGACGCCGCGUGGAGGAAGAAGGUCUUCGGAUUGUAAACUCCUGUUGUUGAGGAAGAUAAUGACGGUACUCAACAAGGAAGUGACGGCUAACUACGUGCCAGCAGCCGCGGUAAAACGUAGGUCACAAGCGUUGUCCGGAAUUACUGGGUGUAAAGGGAGCGCAGGCGGGAAGACAAGUUGGAAGUGAAAUCUAUGGGCUCAACCCAUAAACUGCUUUCAAAACUGUUUUUCUUGAGUAGUGCAGAGGUAGGCGGAAUUCCCGGUGUAGCGGUGGAAUGCGUAGAUAUCGGGAGGAACACCAGUGGCGAAGGCGGCCUACUGGGCACCAACUGACGCUGAGGCUCGAAAGUGUGGGUAGCAAACAGGAUUAGAUACCCUGGUAGUCCACACCGUAAACGAUGAUUACUAGGUGUUGGAGGAUUGACCCCUUCAGUGCCGCAGUUAACACAAUAAGUAAUCCACCUGGGGAGUACGACCGCAAGGUUGAAACUCAAAGGAAUUGACGGGGGCCCGCACAAGCAGUGGAGUAUGUGGUUUAAUUCGACGCAACGCGAAGAACCUUACCAAGUCUUGACAUCCCUUGACGAACAUAGAAAUAUGUUUUCUCUUCGGAGCAAGGAGACAGGUGGUGCAUGGUUGUCGUCAGCUCGUGUCGUGAGAUGUUGGGUUAAGUCCCGCAACGAGCGCAACCCUUAUGGUCAGUUACUACGCAAGAGGACUCUGGCCAGACUGCCGUUGACAAAACGGAGGAAGGUGGGGAUGACGUCAAAUCAUCAUGCCCUUUAUGACUUGGGCUACACACGUACUACAAUGGCGUUAAACAAAGAGAAGCAAGACCGCGAGGUGGAGCAAAACUCAGAAACAACGUCCCAGUUCGGACUGCAGGCUGCAACUCGCCUGCACGAAGUCGGAAUUGCUAGUAAUCGCAGAUCAGCAUGCUGCGGUGAAUACGUUCCC
rnacentral:rRNA from 1 species